rnacentral:rRNA from 1 species
CAGCCGCCGCGGUAAUACGAAGGGGGCUAGCGUUGCUCGGAAUGACUGGGCGUAAAGGGCGCGUAGGCGGCGAUCAAAGUCAGGCGUGAAAUUCCUGGGCUCAACCUGGGGGCUGCGCUUGAUACUUGGUUGCUUGAGUGGGGAAGAGGGUCGUGGAAUUCCCAGUGUAGAGGUGAAGUUCGUAGAUAUUGGGAAGAACACCGGUGGCGAAGGCGGCGACCUGGUCCUUGACUGACGCUGAGGCGCGAAAGCGUGGGGAGCAAACAGGAUUAGAUACCCCAGUAGUCCCUGUCUCUUAUAC